CUCCUGGACAGCUGAGCACGCGCAUGCGCCCUCCUGGGAACCUGCCCAGGGUAACAGGGCCGACCUUAAGGCCCCCGCUUGGUGAAAGGCCGGAAAGUGGAGAGGGUGGUGACAGGUCUAGCUGCCUCUGGUUUUGAUGUUUACAAAGUUUUGCAAGUGAAAAGAGAUACUUUGGACACAUAAUUGUCAAUUCCAAUAUCAUUACUGCCCUUGAAAGCAGAUGUUGGAACCUCCAGCUGAUGGAAACACAUCAAGCCUUGAAUUCUUCAGCGAGUGUUCACAUCAUCCUAUGUGAAUGAACAGAAAUGGCUUUGAAUCUUAAAGCACAUGGUUCUUGGAAUUUUGAAAACUGGCCAUCGUUUUACAACUAUAAGCACUUCUUUCACAUUCAGCCC